rnacentral:tRNA from 1 species
GGGGAUUUAGCUCAGUGGUAGAGCGCUUGCCUAGCAAGCGCAAGGCAUCUAGGUUCGAUCCCCAGCUCCG